rnacentral:rRNA from 1 species
CAGGCUUAACACAUGCAAGUCGAGGGGCAGCAUGGUCUUAGCUUGCUAAGGCCGAUGGCGACCGGCGCACGGGUGAGUAACACGUAUCCAACCUGCCGUCUACUCUUGGACAGCCUUCUGAAAGGAAGAUUAAUACAAGAUGGCAUCAUGAGUCCGCAUGUUCACAUGAUUAAAGGUAUUCCGGUAGACGAUGGGGAUGCGUUCCAUUAGAUAGUAGGCGGGGUAACGGCCCACCUAGUCUUCGAUGGAUAGGGGUUCUGAGAGGAAGGUCCCCCACAUUGGAACUGAGACACGGUCCAAACUCCUACGGGAGGCAGCAGUGAGGAAUAUUGGUCAAUGGGCGAGAGCCUGAACCAGCCAAGUAGCGUGAAGGAUGACUGCCCUAUGGGUUGUAAACUUCUUUUAUAAAGGAAUAAAGUCGGGUAUGGAUACCCGUUUGCAUGUACUUUAUGAAUAAGGAUCGGCUAACUCCGUGCCAGCAGCCGCGGUAAUACGGAGGAUCCGAGCGUUAUCCGGAUUUAUUGGGUUUAAAGGGAGCGUAGAUGGAUGUUUAAGUCAGUUGUGAGAGUUUGCGGCUCAACCGUAAAAUUGCAGUUGAUACUGGAUAUCUUGAGUGCAGUUGAGGCAGGCGGAAUUCGUGGUGUAGCGGUGAAAUGCUUAGAUAUCACGAAGAACUCCGAUUGCGGAGGCAGCCUGCUAAGCUGCAACUGACAUUGAGGCUCGAAAGUGUGGGUAUCAAACAGGAUUAGAUACCCUGGUAGUCCACACGGUAAACGAUGAAUACUCGCUGUUUGCGAUAUACUGCAAGCGGCCAAGCGAAAGCGUUAAGUAUUCCACCUGGGGAGUACGCCGGCAACGGUGAAACUCAAAGGAAUUGACGGGGGCCCGCACAAGCGGAGGAACAUGUGGUUUAAUUCGAUGAUACGCGAGGAACCUUACCCGGGCUUAAAUUGCAGAUGAAUUACGGUGAAAGCCGUAAGCCGCAAGGCAUCUGUGAAGGUGCUGCAUGGUCGUCGUCAGCUCGUGCCGUGAGGUGUCGGCUUAAGUGCCAUAACGAGCGCAACCCUUGUUGUCAGUUACUAACAGGUUCCGCUGAGGACUCUGACAAGACUGCCAUCGUAAGAUGUGAGGAAGGUGGGGAUGACGUCAAAUCAGCACGGCCCUUACGUCCGGGGCUACACACGUGUUACAAUGGGGGGUACAGAGGGCCGCUACCACGCGAGUGGAUGCCAAUCCCCAAAACCUCUCUCAGUUCGGACUGGAGUCUGCAACCCGACUCCACGAAGCUGGAUUCGCUAGUAAUCGCGCAUCAGCCACGGCGCGGUGAAUACGUUCCCGGGCCUUGUACACACCGCCCGUCAAGCCAUGGGAGCCGGGGGUACCUGAAGUGCGUAACCGCGAGGAGCGCCCUAGGGUAAAACUGGUGACUGGG